rnacentral:lncRNA from 1 species
UGUUAAAAAAUAGAAUUAAAGUUUCUGGAAUGUGGUGUCAUUGUAUCUCGGGCGAGUCUGAAAAUUCACAAAAACCCUGACCUAAAAAUAUCCUAAACCAAAGCGCUAUGUUUUACUAGACUUGGUCAGGGGUUAACAUAUUUUUCCAUUAAGCAGCUACAACUUCGAGAGUUAACGAAAAAAAGUUAUUAAAAUGAGUUUCAAGUUUUAAUCUUAAGUUUGGAUUAUAUAUCUGAUUUAUUUUAGUUUUAUCUAAGUUUCCUCCCACCUGAGAAGAAUUAGACAUAGACAUUUCGUAUUGGCAUUUUUCUUGAAGUUAAUUAUCUAAUUUUCAUAUCAGACAGAAAUUAAUGUUGUAAAAAACUUUUGGAAAAGACUUACUAUCGUUAGGAUGGAUCUGAUCCUACGUAGGCUAAAACAUCACUGAUUGAUCUUUAUGUUACUUACUCUAUCAGUCUUGAUUCUUUUCCCAUACACUUAGAUACCUAAACAUGUCUAUUUUUCAUAUUUCAAAAUCUACGAAGUUUCUUCUCGUUUUUUUACCGUGAACGAUAUAAAGCCCCUUUUUCUAGUAUUUACUAGCGAAUUUGAACUUUCUCUACUUUUGUCUUUCUAUUGUAUAGAUAGUCGAACAUAAUAUAAACAUGGAUUAAAAUUUUAAAUUAAGAUAUUUCUCAUAAUUGAUGUGUUACACACAUCAUUCACUUGACUGUGAAAUUAAAAAAAAAAAUUAGUAUGAAUUGUGAUCUACCUAUUUUGUAGAAUUUGGCGUGGAAAUUGUUUAAAAAAUGAUACGACAAAGAGGAACUUUAGAAGUUUUCCAUGAUAAUCUCGCUAAGGGUAAUUAAAGUUAUGAGCUUUUUAAAGUAGGUUGGGAAUGUAAUGAAAAACUAACCGAAUUACUUAAUUUUUUUUAAAGCGCAACAACAUGUUUAUCGAGAAUUUAUUGUCCCACACGUUGUUUGAAAAUGAAGUUAAUGAAAAAAGAUGAUAGUUCAAAU